AGGUCUUGACAUCCCGAUGCUAUUUCUAGAGAUAGAAAGUUACUUCGGUACAUCGGUGACAGGUGGUGCAUGGUUGUCGUCAGCUCGUGUCGUGAGAUGUUGGGUUAAGUCCCGCAACGAGCGCAACCCCUAUUGUUAGUUGCCAUCAUUCAGUUGGGGACUCUAGCGAGACUGCCGGUAAUAAACCGGAGGAAGGUGGGGAUGACGUCAAAUCAUCAUGCCCCUUAUGACCUGGGCUACACACGUGCUACAAUGGUUGGUACAACGAGUUGCGAGUCGGUGACGGCGAGCUAAUCUCUUAAAGCCAAUCUCAGUUCGGAUUGUAGGCUGCAACUCGCCUACAUGAAGUCGGAAUCGCUAGUAAUCGCGGAUCAGCACGCCGCGGUGAAUACGUUCCCGGGCCUU
rnacentral:rRNA from 1 species